rnacentral:lncRNA from 1 species
GGGAUGGGGCAUCCUGAGAGCCAAACUGCCAUUAUUGUUAUUUCUGUUCUGGAUUUAGCCACUCAGCGGAGCUACUGGGCUCCAGGCCGGUACUGGGGAAUAUCUGCAAAGAGUCCUGUGAUGUUAUCCGUCUUCAGGUCUUUCAGCCAUGGAUACAAGCACCUGCUCUGGUGGAGGUAGCAGGGAACUGAAGUAGACUCUGUGAGGGGUCCGUGGUUGUAUUUUUAAGUGCACUGAUUUUGUGUUGGCUGGCCUCCAGCCAAAAGGUAGCACUUUCAAAAGUGCAUCAGCUGCAGUAGUAUAGGGAGGAUACAAGCUUGCCCAAGUAUCAGGUGGUGGGCAGGGCUAUAGAGCUCCCAAGAGAUUAUGUCCUUUGUCUCCAGCUACCAGGGUGGGUGGAGAAAGAUCAUCACGUUGAGGCGGGGUUAGGCUGUCUGAGUUCAGACUCUCCUUGGGUGGAGCUUGCUGCAGCUGCUGUGGGGGAUGGAGUUGUGGUUUCCCAGGCCAGUGGAGUUAUGGUCCCAGAGGGAUUAUGGCUGCCACUGCUGCAUCACACAGGUUGCCAGGAAAGUGGGGGAAACCCGGCAACCACAGGCCUCACCCGUCUCCCAUGCAGCCCAAAAGUCCAGUCUCACUCCCACCAUGUCCCCGCAAACAGCACUGAAUUUAUUUCCAGGCAACCAGUGAGCAAGGCUGAGAACUUGUCCCAGGUUACGAGACUCCCAGGUACAGUCAUGUGCCGCAUAAUGACAUUCAGUCAAUGACAGACUGCAUAUAUGAGGUGGUCCUGUAAGGUGAUAAUGGAGCUGAAAAAUUCCUACUACUGAACGACAUCAUAGCCAUUGUAACAUCAUAGCACAACCAAUCACCUUUUCUAUAUUUAGCAAGAUGGCUACAGAAGUUCUGGAAAUAUACCAGACGUGGCAAUGCUGCAGAGGAAGGAGGGAGAAUAUGCCUUUCUGCAGAUCUUUCUUGGAGGAGAGAUAAGGAGUUCAUAUGCUGGAAUGAUAGUGACACAGGAGUUUAACACUCCUACAGUAUCCAGAGCCUGGAUCCCUGAGUCAUCAGAUGGAGAAGAACUACUCAGGAGAGUCAUCCAACCUUCAUAGACAGUGGCAUGAGUGGG